rnacentral:lncRNA from 1 species
CGGCAGCACAAAGUAAUAGAAGCUUGUUGUCAUCUUCCAUGUCCAUAUUCCAAUCUACACAAAUUAUUAUGAGUUCACUCAGAUUCAUCCAAACUAAAUAAAUAAUUAUUAUCGAAAAUAGUGCUAUGGCUGGCUUUUCAUUUAUGAAAAAAUCUCUGUUAAUGACACACACAGCUGUAAAUGCUACACUGUUCAAGAUUAAACUUAAAAUUAUACGAAUAAAGUACGUUUUGCUUCUCCAUUCAAUAUUUGCUUCUGUGUUUAAAAAUUUCGUAAACAACAUUAAUAGGACUGACGAGGUCAUGUCUGAAAAAAAUUCAAACAGCAUUUUAUCG